rnacentral:tRNA from 1 species
UGGUGCGUAACUCAAUGGACAGAGUAGCGGUCUCUUAAGCCGAAGGCUGUGGGGUGAGAGCGGGGUUUCGGCGAAUGAAGAGUUUCAUUCGCCGCCGCUCGAACGGAACAUGCUCUGCAUGUUCGGGGUCGCGGGACGUGACCAAGUCCCUCCGCACCAACCA